rnacentral:rRNA from 1 species
AUUGAACGCUGGCGGCAUGCUUUACACAUGCAAGUCGAACGGUAACAGGCCGCAAGGUGCUGACGAGUGGCGAACGGGUGAGUAAUGCAUCGGAACGUGCCCAGUCGUGGGGGAUAACGCAGCGAAAGCUGUGCUAAUACCGCAUACGAUCUAUGGAUGAAAGCGGGGGACCGUAAGGCCUCGCGCGAUCGGAGCGGCCGAUGUCAGAUUAGGUAGUUGGUGGGGUAAAGGCCCACCAAGCCAACGAUCUGUAGCUGGUCUGAGAGGACGACCAGCCACACUGGGACUGAGACACGGCCCAGACUCCUACGGGAGGCAGCAGUGGGGAAUUUUGGACAAUGGGCGCAAGCCUGGUCCAGCAAUGCCGCGUGCAGGAAGAAGGCCUUCGGGUUGUAAACUGCUUUUGUACGGAACGAAACGGUCUGGGUUAAUACCCUGGGCUAAUGACGGUACCGUAAGAAUAAGCACCGGCUAACUACGUGCCAGCCGCCGCCGUAAAAC